rnacentral:rRNA from 1 species
GCUUACGGCCAUACCAGCCUGGGUACGCCCGAUCUCGUCUCAUCUCGGAAGCUAAGCAGGGUCGUGCCUGGUUAGUACUUGGAUGGGAGACCGCCUGGGAAUACCAAGUGCUGUAAGCA